rfam:Camelus ferus unplaced genomic scaffold scaffold704, whole genome shotgun sequence.
GGAGGCUACAGCUCAGUGUUAGAGUGUGUGCUUAGCAUGCAUGAGGUCCUGGGUUCAAUCCCCAGUACCUCCA